rnacentral:sRNA from 1 species
UGACAUGGUGGACGCUCCUGGGGGCACACCUGGCAUCGGAGACCUCCUCGAUUUCCUUGGAGGGUGGUACAAUCACGUGAUAACAGACUGGAGGUUCAUCAUGAGACAGCCCCUGCAAAGUCCCAGGGUAUCUCGAAAUUGGUUGCUUGAUUCGAGCGGCCCGCUUGAGGGGCUACUGUGAACAGUUUUUGACAUUGCCUGCAUGGCUAAGAGAAAAAGCACGGAAAAUGCAGCGAUCAUGGAUUAAGGAUGACGGCAGCUUGUAUUGAUCGCCCUGUCUUCAAUAUGUCUGGUGUCCUUUGGUAUUGGAAGGAAAGGCCUUAUUUGUUGGGAAACAAACGACAAGAGUGUUGGCAACUUGAUCAUUGGUUAUUUAUUACAUGCGCUUGGCCAUGGGGUCGUACUAAGAUGCGAUAAACCAAAUGUUCAACCGAGGGCUUGUGGACAAAAUGAGAGAAUCCCUCCUGCUUUCAAGCCGAUUUAAUCAUCCAAAACUACUCGCUUGCAAAGAUGAAUACUAGGAAUCUUGGCAGCUCCUUAUGCCACCCCUUGCUGCUUACUCGAUUCGGAGCCUGACUUUGAUGGAGAGCAAGAAUUAUAUCUUUUCGCGUAUUCCGCGGCGCAGCUGGAAUGUUCAUGGAUGAUAUGCUGGCCGCGGUUACACUGUGGAUGGAAGGAGGGAGG